UACAGGGGGGGCAAGCGUUGUUCGGAAUUACUGGGCGUAAAGGGCUCGUAGGCGGCCAACUAAGUCACACGUGAAAUCCCCAGGCUCAACCUGGGAACUGCGUGUGAUACUGGAUGGCUUGAAUUCGGGAGAGGGAUGCAGAAUUCCAGGUGUAGCGGUGAAAUGCGUAGAUAUCUGGAGGAACACCGGUGGCGAAGGCGGCAUCCUGGACCAACACUGACGCUGAGUGAGCGAAAGCCAGGGGAGCAAACGGG
rnacentral:rRNA from 1 species